rnacentral:lncRNA from 1 species
AAAUUUAGGAAAAAUCAUAUUGCUCUUGUAAACAUAUUAAAUAGCAGAUAUAUUUCUACAAAAUUCAAGUUUUCAUAUCUAUUCUUUCAAAAAUUUAGUGAUAUUCAUGUUUGUCACUCUUAUUUGUUACCGUUAGCUCACUAUUUAUUUUCUAACAGAAGAACAGCGAAAUAUCAAUUUUGUAAUCACAAAUAUGUUCCUCUAAAAGUCCUAUUUGUUAGAAUCAUGUAAAAAUAUUCUUCCAAAAAAGUUUCAAUAGUCAACUUCUUCUCUAUAAAAACUAACACAUUCACCACCAUUACAACACCUUCUCUACCUCUUUCUCACUCCUUUUCUCCUUUACCUAUAAAAUACUAAGUUUUUGGCGCUCAACUUAAGCGAAGCAACACAUAUCGUGGAUAAAUGGAGAUGAAAAAAUCCUAGUUACGAGUACGAAACUAGCAUGAAGGAGAGAGAGGAAGAGGAAGAAGAGUUUUUAUUGUUAAGGCUUUGAUGGAAAUAAGAUUUUGAUUAAGAGAAGAAGGCAUAAUAUGAGGCGUAAAAAGGUUAAUUUACCUCGCUCAUGAACCAAUGUUAAAUAUUUUAUCUGUGGUUAACUAUAUAAUUCUAAUGGACAAUAACAGUAGGAAUAUAUUUGAAAUCAUUAGGACGUUUUGAGGUAUAAAUUUGAAAACUUGAACUUCGCAAGAAUAUAUCUGCUAUUCGAUAUAUUUAUAGAGAACCAUAUGAAAUUCUCCCUUAAAAUUAUUAUUUCUCAUUAAUUUCGUUAUGUAAUGAAAGUACA